rnacentral:lncRNA from 1 species
AAUUGCCCAAUCAACCAAAAGCAAAUAUAUCCAGCAGCAUGUCGAGAAUGAAAUCAACCACAGGAAAUCUUUAAUGUUAACCACAGAGAAGUUCACACUCCGCGGAGCAAAAAGAGAACUACUCAGUACCAAAACAUUGGGAACAAGCAUAGAUACUAAGAACUGGCUCAAGCUUCUGCUCAGGAAACAACAAGCGCUCUAGUAACCACCCUUGAGAUCGUUGACGACGUCGUACGGGAUGGGGGUGACCGUCUCGAUGGUGGUGCCCUCCACCAUGAACCCAGGCUUGGGGCCUGCUGGCUGCCUCUUGGUGCUGAUGACCUCACCACGCACCUUGGCCUCCGCCUUCAGCUUGUCGUUGUUGAGCUUCCUCUGGAGGAACUCCUCGUUGCACCUGGAUGGCUGCACGUGCUCCACACGCACAUGGAUCCUCUUCUUGAUGAUCCUGUUGCCAACCUGAUGACAGAGAACACAUGUUACAAUCUGUGUACAGAGCACAGACAUAUAUGAAACCACUGAUACAUAGUACAGGGCAACAUUUACAUGUAAAAGGCAUGACAAGCAAACACUAAUUUAGAUGUAUAACACAAAGUAGUUCACAGACAAGGAAAUGCAGAAAUAAUAUUGGGACCAACAUCAAGUGAUGUAAAAUGUGGCUUACUGUGGUCUACCAAUCCAAAUGGAUAAAACAAACAACUACUACCAACGAGAACCAUUAGAGAGCUAACAUUUACCGUGUACAAAAAUCUUAUCAGCAUACAAAGAUGAGCCAUGAAAUGCAUCCAAACUACUACAUAUUAGACAAAACAAGCCAUGAAAUGCAUCCAAACUAGGACACAUUAGAUGAAACGGGCUAGGAUAUGCAACCCAUAUGCAACAUUACAUGAAACAAGCCAAGGUAUCCACUAAAUAAGAAAACAGAUGUUUAUAUGUGUAUCAUCCAAUUAGGCUGUCAUAACUGCUACAGGUAAAGCAUGCAGUCAGAGGAAGCCAGAAUGAAAUUUUAAUGUAUGCCCAUCACACGAAUCGUGCGCCACAAAAACCUCUCCCGUGGAAUACCACGCCUUCCCAUAGCUGAAGGGGGAAGCGCUCGGCCUAGGGCAUGUGUAAUCAAACAGUUCAAUCUAAUCCAUUCUCAAGAUGCAGCAUAACAUAACAGGACAUCAAAUCAUUGCAGGACAUUACAGAAAUGUGUAGCUAUGCAAGCAAAUUGACAAACAGGAAAAGUAAGCAAGACAAUUUAUAAGAGUAACAACAUAUGAACAUGAUCUGAAGAGUUCAUCACAGGCACACAUAGCAAUCUAUCAUAACAAAUCAAGCACAGAAAAGCAUUCUAGUAUACUAGACUGAAUUCGCAUCAAACGAACCAAGAGAUUUGGUGACCUUCAGAAUCUCCGGCCACAGACCAGAUUUACGUGUCCCGUCGGUCAAGAUCGCAGUAUCGCCCUAGGAGCACAGAUCUAACAAACCCAACGACCACAGAUGAAGAACAGAGAAGGUAUGGGGCUGGGGAAUUAUACCUGCUUGUUGAUCUCGACGCCGAUGGCGCGCUUGGUGACGUUCCAGACGCGACCGGUGCGGCCGUGGUAGAACUUGUGCGGCAUACCCUUGUGGACGGCGCCGUUCACCUUGACGUCGACAUGCUCGCCGACCUUGUAGGUGCGCAGGUAGGUGGUGAGCGGGAUGUACCCCUUCUUGCGGAAGGGCCGCGCGAACAGGUCGCGCGUCCGCGACCGCAGCCCGUGCCCCGCCGGCAUCUUCCCUUCCUCCUUGCCUUCUCUACCUGCGGCUGUGCGGCGGCGGCGGCGGGCGGGGGAGUGUGUGCGGCGCUAGGGUUUCGGAGGAUGGAGGUGCCGCGUAUUUAUAAAUGGGUCUCGGGCCGCUCUGCCGGAUGCGAUGCUGGGCUAGGUUUUCGUUAUUUCUGUUGGGCCUGUCAUGGGUUGCCGUGACUGCAGAGUUGUAACACUUUGAGUCCAACAUUGCAGGCCGGUUAUUGGGCUAGGAUACAACAAAGACAUAACCUUCCCUAACAAAAAUAAAUAAAGACUUAACCUUUGUUCAGAAAAAAAAAAAGACACUUAGGUCCAGUUUUUUUUUACGAUUCUCCUAGAAUCCUGAGAAUCGGGCAUCCCCUCGGGUUCUUUCAAAAUCUUGAACCUGUAUUUUUUAGUCAUCCUAGCUAGUUAGGGUAUAAAUAGGUUGUCAAGAAAAUACGGGUUCAAGAUUUUGAAGAGUCUAGGGGAGGUUCGAUUCUCAAUAUUUUGGGAGAAUCGGCCAAAAGAACUGGGCCUUAGUCUCCAAACGAAUUUUAGCGACAUGUGACAAAUGAACAACCUACCUCGAGACAACCACAUGAAUCACCUCCAAAGAGAGGGACUAGCCCGGUGUUUCCUCCUCACCAUAACAGCAAGGGAGAAUACUUGAUGCUCCCAUGGCUUAGGUGUUACCGUGCCCAGAUGUUAGAAAACUUAAAUUAUGAUGCAUAAAAAGUUUGAGAAACAAUUGUGGAUGUUCACUAGAUGGGUGUUUAUAACCCAUAAAUUUUCCAAAUUCAAGCUAGAAAUACACAUCGGUAUAAAAAGAGACAAAUUUGAAUGUAUAGUGCCGUUUUAGCUUUUGUCUACUCAUGACUUUAUUCACGUUGGAAUUGUCUUUUUAAAUAUUUUAUGUUUUUAAUUGGAGUUAAAUUUUUAGGGUUUGUACACACUUAUCUUGUGAACAUCCACACUUUUUUGGAUUUUUCUAACACUCCAAAUUUGAGUUUUGUGGCAUUGGAGCAUGGUAGCAUGGAAGUCGUGGGAGGAAAACUCACCCAUAACAAAAAAUUGCACAACAACUAGUUGNNNNNNNNNNNNNNNNNNNNNNNNNNNNNNNNNNNNNNNNNNNNNNNNNNNNNNNNNNNNNNNNNNNNNNNNNNNNNNNNNNNNNNNNNNNNNNNNNNNNNNNNNNNNNNNNNNNNNNNNNNNNNNNNNNNNNNNNNNNNNNNNNNNNNNNNNNNNNNNNNNNNNNNNNNNNNNNNNNNNNNNNNNNNNNNNNNNNNNNNNNNNNNNNNNNNNNNNNNNNNNNNNNNNNNNNNNNNNNNNNNNNNNNNNNNNNNNNNNNNNNNNNNNNNNNNNNNNNNNNNNNNNNNNNNNNNNNNNNNNNNNNNNNNNNNNNNNNNNNNNNNNNNNNNNNNNNNNNNNNNNNNNNNNNNNNNNNNNNNNNNNNNNNNNNNNNNNNNNNNNNNNNNNNNNNNNNNNNNNNNNNNNNNNNNNNNNNNNNNNNNNNNNNNNNNNNNNNNNNNNNNNNNNNNNNNNNNNNNNNNNNNNNNNNNNNNNNNNNNNNNNNNNNNNNNNNNNNNNNNNNNNNNNNNNNNNNNNNNNNNNNNNNNNNNNNNNNNNNNNNNNNNNNNNNNNNNNNNNNNNNNNNNNNNNNNNNNNNNNNNNNNNNNNNNNNNNNNNNNNNNNNNNNNNNNNNNNNNAUUUUUUGUUUCACUUGGUUGAUUAUUUUUUGUAUGUUUUUUAAUUUCAUCAAAUUUUCCAGUUUACGUUUGACGGGAGUGUGUUCUUCCGCGUGAAGCACAUGUGUGCUUCCCGUGUGAGAAAAGCAAGAUUAUGCUUUCACUUGAAGCAUAAUAAUGCUUCACCCCGUAGGGAGCAUAUGUGUGCUUCCCUGCGAAGAGCAUUUGUGUUUCAACCCUGUGGGACCAUAAUUGUGCUUCCUCAACCAUAACAGUUUAGUUUGUGUUUGGAGUUCACGCUGGAAGCACAAAGUUACUACUAUCUUGAAGCAUAGAUUUUUAUGAACAAAAGUCUAUCGAAAUGAUUAACAUGGGAUCAUAUUUGAAGAUCUCAAUGCUAAAAUGCAACAAUGAAAACGGUUUGUAAUUUGGAGUCACGGUUUAAGACAUAAAUCGUGUUUUUUAAACACAAAGAAUCUACCUCUCAUCCUCACGCUUGUGGGAAAAAAACUCAAGCAAAACUCUCUGAUUGCGACAAGUUAUGCACAUGCGGUGCUUUGCUUGUCAGAGGAGAUGGGGCAACCUUUGUAAGCGGUACCCUUAAUUAGUGAUUUUGCCUAUGUUCCGAAGGCGUCUGUAUGUCACUCGCAGCGAGAAAACGUAUAUGAUUCAAAAUAUUGUUUAUGGCUUUUGAAAAAACAUUUGCGUGUUCCAAGAAGUGUAUAUGACAUUCAAAAGUUAUACUAAACAUGAAUUUGAUUUUUUAACAUAUAUAAAAAAUCUUUCGGAUGUAUAUAAAAAAUGUACAAUGUGUAUGAAAAAAGUAGAUAUUUCAAGAAACUAUUAAUCAUAUAUUUAGAAACCGUUAAAUGUGAAUAAAAAUGUUCGUUAUAUGUACAAAAAUGUUCCUUAUAUGUACAUCAAAAACAUAUUUUUAGAAAAAUGUUAAUAAUAUAUUUAAAAAUAUUAAACUUGAACAAAGAAACCCGUCCAAAUAAAAAAAAGAUAAUAAAACCAACAAAAGCCUAGAAAGGAAAAAAAUAGGGAAAACCAAAGGAAAAUAAUAGAAGAAUGAAACCAAAAACAGAAAGAAAAAGAAGAGAACGGAGAGAGAAACAAAGAAAACAAAAAACAAUGAAAUCCUGAAAGAAAACCAAAAAAUAGAGGAAAAGAUUGAAAUUCGAUAAAGAAACACAGGAAACCACUGAAAAACAGAGAGAGAGAAAAAAUAGGAGAAUUGAAAAAGACUAUCCAUAUCCUAUGUAUCUAACUCUUCUAGGGGAUUCUGUGUCAGAUUAUUUCAUUCCAUUAAAAAUAAGAAGCCAAUUAUGUUCAUAAGAAGAAAGAGAAGCAAAUCUAUUCUGUACUCCAUAAGUGCAGCAAGUGCCACCACGGUAUCCAUCAGCAAGGAAGGAUGAAAGCAAAUUUCAGAUCACUCGGCAACAGCUCCUGUGAUGACAUGGGGCGCCUGCACCAACCUGGUGAUAUGCUGGCCCAGGAUAGAGAUAGCCGGGGCAAAACCAAUCGUGGGUAGCCGCUUCCACCGUCCAGAUUCCGCCAACACUGUGCGUUUGCAUACCAGAUUCCGCCAACACUGCGCGUUUGCGUAAACUGUACGUGGACAUCCCGUUCGUCUAUCUUCACCAACGGCCUUGGCGAUGGCCGUAGAGAUCCGCACUGCCCAGCCUCGCCGUCGCACCGGGGAGAGCCAGGGUACACGGUAUAUAUGAUUAUGAACAUGAACCAAUCGACAUAUAUAAGGAAACUUUAUAAUGAGUGUGGAAUACACACUGGCCAGGAGAACAACCAGGGUUGCAGCAGCGUGCCAUCUGCUCCCGCUGAAGAUAUCUGAUCCAUAGUACUCCCUCUGUGAAUUAAUAUAAGAGCAUUUAGAUCACUAGUGAUCUAAACACUCUUAUAUUAGUUUACAGAGGGAGUAAUAAAUUGCAGUCGGUUUGAACACGAAACAUCUUUCAGACACUAGCAGGCCUUGAAAAGACGAAAAACAAAUAACAUUCCUUCAGUAUACAACUGCCACAUACAAAAAAAAACAUUCAUUCGUUCGAUACACCAAUACAGGAAAGUAAAACAAAAUCUGCAAGUUAGCCAUGAGAUUCAGGUAAACACCAAUGUGUGUAUCACCUCAAAGUACAAUAUGGAAAACGUUACAUUCCGGAAAGCACCACAAACAUCAUUGCCACGGAACCAACAGCUAAUGGUACCAUUACUCUCGUGAACUCCAUUUAUCCAUUUGUCCACGAGCCUGAAGCCCUGGGUUUCUGCUGCUAAGAGGAUCGAAUCCUCGUCAACACGACGCUGGAUGUAGCAAAGAAUAAGGGCUGCCUUUGAACCAGCAUCGCCACCGUCAGAAAUCAGUGCCCUAGCAGUCUUGAAGAGAGGAAGUGUAGCAUCAGGGUUGUAGGUCACGUCAGUGCCUAUUAUGCAAUCGAAACCUGCACCAUCGCCAGAAAGCUCUCUGACCGCCUUCACAUCAUCUUCGUCACCCCAGAACAGCUUCCUAAUCGAAAUUCUGUUGAGAAGUUCAGCAUCCAAAUUGGAGGAAGUGUUCUGUCUGAGAAGAUCGAGCGAUUCUGCAUCCCCGUCGGUGGCUACAACAAACUGAGCAGAACUGGCAGCAACCAUUGAGCAGAUGCCAGCUGAACCACAGCCCAUUUCCAGCACCCUUUUGCCAGCGACUAUGGAAGGAUUCUCCGCUAGAAGACUGCACAUGAACUGAGCUGAUUCCCAGAGCAUUAGUCCAGUUGAUUUGCAGGUGUGCUGGUAUUCUUUCGCCAGCAUUUUUAUUUUGAAGUCAUGAUCCUUUGCUUCAAUCAUAAUAAUUUGUGCCUACAAGUAGUUAAAACAUGUUAUGUCCAAUUACUUCACAAACAAUAGCAAUGUUAGAAGUUUACAUUAAACAUAAACAGGAAAACAUGUCGACAUUCAUGGCUGAAAUAUACUCAAUUUAGAAGUAUGUGUUGUGCUGGCCAUAAUUUAACUGAAACCCCACUGUAAAUACAAUGACUAAAGAUGAACAGUGAACGUUAUGUUCACAAAAAAGAGAGCACAGACCGGCAGUUGCAAUAAAAACUAACAGCUGAAGCUGACUGCACGUGUUGCCAAGUGCUCACCAUCGAGUUCUAAAUUAGUCAUAGUGGGGAGUAACUUAGACUAGUGUCAUGCAUAUGACACUAGUCUAUGUUACUACCUCACAGUGCAAAGUAUCAUAGAUGGUUGCAUUUAUUAGGUUGUAGACUCAUUUUGCUUUGGGUUGCGUUAUGUUACGGUAACAUAUUAUGUUACCACAAACACCUCUCUCCUUAUUAACUACUUGCCACAUAAGCAAACUUGGCGUUCAUUAUGUUGCUAGCUAAGUUACUCCCACUAUGACCAGCCUUAUCUAACAAACACAAGUGAACAAAUUAACGAUAGUGUCCUUGUUUUAGAUGGGGGCGGGAAUAGAGCUGGAGAAAGCCUUUGUUGCCAUGUUGGUUAGUUAGGUUCAUAGUUGACUCACUUUAUAUCAAAGAUUUCUUACUUCAAAUGUAAAAUUAAAAACACCAACAAUUUUACCUCAUUAAGAUAGUGCGACGUUCCAAACAUAUUGCUAAAAUCCACAGAAAGGUCAAUUUCUUCACUUUCGCUCUUCUGAGACGUGUCAACAGCAUCCUUCCCUUCACAAGUACUGUGGUCAUGUUGAUUAUUUGGACUUAGAGGACCCGCUGGGUUAAGGAUAAAGGUAGCUUGGAUCCAAUUCCUAAGUAACAUAAACACAUAUUUAAGGAUUCAAGCAUUUGUACAAAAGAUUGAAAUAAUCAGGGAAGAUAAAUCGAAGGGGCGUAACAGAUGUACGAUGAUAAGUUUUUAGGUUUCCUCAUCGAACUUCCAAAAGCUUACAGAAGUAUCAUUCUUUAAAGUGAAUCAUAUAAUUAACUUAUUUUUGGUAAAUUUAAUAUCAAGUGAUGCAAUAAAUAAAAGAUGAUAUUUGCAGUACAGGCAAAAAAAACAUGAUCACCUGUUCAUCACCAAGUCUAGUGAACGGUUCUCGACCUUUUUGUUGUGUACACAAAUUUCCUCAAGAGUAAAUCCACAUUUUGAGAACAAAUCCACCAGGUACUCGUUUGAAAAGUAGUACGCACGCUGCAUGGCACCGACAUUUGGUGAAUAAGUCCACCAUGCACUCAUUUUGAAAACUAUGGAUGGUGCAUGGAAUAUUACUGUGAGUGUGUAACAUUUUGUGAACCUCUACUACAGAAUAUGUUUAUCUUCAGUCCACUCACCGUGCCAUCACCUCUGACAUAAAAGUUCUCACUUAUUUGCUGGCCUUUGGACAUAAGCCUUUCCUGCAAAUAUGUACAAGAUCAUAAGAUACCUACAUACAUGCAUAAUGGUUUCAGGGUUGUCGUAUAUUAUAAAAAUAAUGGCCUUCAAAGGUAGGAGUCUUGAAAAGACGCUACAUUAGUAGAUUAGUUAUCCUAUAAGGCUAUACAUAACCUGUGCAUCAUGAUCACCUAAGGGAAGACGUGAGUAAAAUAGGAAAGUUGCAUACAGGGAUACCUCAAUGAGAAAUGAAAAAAAAAGCUAGUGCACAUUCAUAAAUGAUGGCAACAAAACGCAGACAUGAUGAGGUAAUUUCUGUGUUUGAAGUUGCUAACAAGAAAAAUCAUAGCUUAGAAUAACUCAAGCCAGACAAAAGAAACUAAUAUGUCCUGUCUAACACAUCAAAACAUCCUUAUUCAAUGCACGACUCUAUAUGCUAUGGCAUAAGCUUACACUGUCAAGAACAGGACAACAAAAAUAUUUGUAGAAGCCAGAAAAUGGCAUGUAUGUCCAAGUUUUUUUUCCUUUGAAAAUAAUAAAAUAAAUGCCAACCUGAGCAAGGUCACCAAAGGCAUAGUCCCGAAAGAGCACACGGCCACCGUGCUGAUACAGAAUACACGGGUUCAGUUUCUUAGGUCAUUAAGAGAACAUCUAAGAAAUGAAAAACUUAGGCUCUCAUAGUUGGAAGUAAAAGGAGUACUUACUUUGAGGAUAUUUUUCACGUUCUGCAGAACUGAAGGCAUUUUAUCUGGGGCAACUGCAGAUAGCAUAAAUAUCUACUUAAUAUGUUAGUUGUACGAUCACAGGUCUGACAAUACAUGUGAACAGACACUAAAGUAUUGUGCAAAUAGACAUGAAAAUAUGUAAUCAUGUGACAAUAAGUGUGAACAGACACAAAAGUAUUGUGCAAAUAGACAUGUAAAUAUGUAAUCAGAGUAUAACAUGCUACCAUUGUCACAAGGUCAACGGAGGAUGGCUCCACAGCAUCUGUCAGUUGUUCUGAUGUAAUAUCACAUGCAAAUGCAUUAACAUGGUCAGGUCUGAAGUCCUUGUGUUUCUGCAUGUAUGAUUCAACCAAUUUCUUCAUCAGUGGGACACAACUGAGAGCAUGGACUAAUGAUUCAGCUAUGGGAGAGGAAACAACUACCUUAACCAAAUCGACAGCUCGCGAAGAAAAAUCACAAGCAUGAACAAAUAUAUCCGGAUAUGUAGCCAGCAGUGGAAAUAUUGUAUUUCCAGCUCCACAGCCAACCUACAGAACUUUACACCUGUCAUACUCAUAUUAUGCAAGCAAGAAAACAACAACAAAAUAAGCUAGAUGCAGAUAUGUGGUCAUCUACAGCACACUGUAGGCUCAGAUAAUCAAUGUCCACACCUCCAAAACAACCAUAUUCCCACCAUCUUGGGCUUCAAAGUACUUCCCCCAUUCUUUAUCCAAGUAGUGUCGGUCUUUGAAGAACUAUACAAAUGAAUGGACACAAAUCAAAUGCAAGACAAAAUAAAUAUAAACCAGAAGGCAUUUGCACAUCACAUACACUUGCAACAGAGGUUUACAAACGGAAGCGGCAUGUCUGAUCAAGAUUAAAGAGUAAAAAAACUCAUCAUUGGACGCAAUGUUCAGUAAGAGCUAUGGCAAGAUUCCAUUUUACUGUUGAGAUAUAUACCACAACCAUUAACAAAGUGGUAGGAACCAAUUUCAACAAGGAUGGCAUUUCGUGUACUACAAGAAAAUCAAACUGAAGCGAAAACUCAAGAUAGGUAAAAACCGCAUAACUAUACGGAAUCACUCUGAUACUCUGCAAUGGUUCUUUCGGAGCUAGUCUUGCGUUUCUGGGUAGUAUCAACAACUGCGCACUAUUAAGCCACUGAUACUUAAGAUGUGACCGAGGGGCUUCCCUCCUGCACGUCCUUCUCAAAACUAGAGUAAACCAAGGAUCAUAACUACCGAGGCCAUAUCAGUAACCAAACAUUGCGGCUGCAACAUAAAAUCGCAAGAUUCAACUAGGAGUAUUUUUGUCCGAUAAAAAGAAGCCCACAUGGCUCCCAAUAUCACUGCUGAAACUGGAUGUCGCAAUCCNNNNNNNNNNNNNNNNNNNNNNNNNNNNNNNNNNNNNNNNNNNNNNNNNNNNNNNNNNNNNNNNNNNNNNNNNNNNNNNNNNNNNNNNNNNNNNNNNNNNNNNNNNNNNNNNNNNNNNNNNNNNNNNNNNNNNNNNNNNNNNNNNNNNNNNNNNNNNNNNNNNNNNNNNNNNNNNNNNNNNNNNNNNNNNNNNNNNNNNNNNNNNNNNNNNNNNNNNNNNNNNNNNNNNNNNAUGAAUAGUGCAAAACUACAAGAUAACCAGAGCUACAGAACUAGUACUAAUUCUGAAGUAAAGGAUAACAUUGACCAACAGCACUGCAUCCCAGCGACAACUGAAGCUUACAAAUUCAACUAUUUCACUUGGCGCUAACAAAUUCAAGUAAGCCACUUGGGAGAAGUGGGAUAGGGGGGUAGAAUCGCAACCUUGUCCUCGUGGCGCUUGUAGAAGAUAUCCCAGUACCUGCGCGCAUCUCGCUCGUACUUCUCUGCAUCGAGAACCAAGCUAUAACAACAGCGUGGAAACAGCGGAGGAAAGAAAAGGGGCGGUCUGAGCUCGCCCGCCACAGACCUUUCCAGAACGGAGUGACGGGCCUCCCGGAAGAAUUGGUGGUGGUGGAAGAGGAGAUCUUCGGGGCGCUGUGCUGCUCGCCGGCGGCCAUGGUGGACUCAGCUCCGAAUCGGCGGCGACAGAUUUCCGCUCUGGGCCAGGGUUUCGAGGUUCCUGGCGCUGGCACGGCGCGGAUAAAGGCCGGGCCGAGACGGAGCCGAUCAACUCGUUUGGGCUGGACCGACAAUUUGGCCCAGAAGUAAUGGGCCCAGUGUAAUGAUCACUUUGCCUUAUCGGAGGCCCAGUUGCAGUAAGAGUGAGCGUCCAGCCACACCCAUUUACUUUAGAGGAAAAUUAAGAAGGUGGUUUUUGGUAUGAAAAGAAUUAGAAGUCCUGGGCCUGAUGGGAUUCACUGCUGAUUUCUAUCAGAAUUUCUGGGAUUUGGUUAAAUGGGACCUGAAAAAAAUUAAUUGAUGAGUUUGCUAAAGGCAGUAUAGAUAUUGCUAGACUUAAUUAUGGGAUAAUCACCUUGGUACCUAAAUCUGCUGAUGCUAAGCAAAUUCAAAAAUUAGGCCGAUCUGUCUGUUAAAUGUAAGCUUCAAAAUUAUUACUAAAUCUGUCUGUUAAAACCUCUGAAAACCCCGACGGCCCAUUUGUUUCACGUGGUUUGGACAGCCCAAUCCCUUCCAUUCCCCUUUGAUCCCCUUCUACCCAUGCGUCUCCCAAGCCUCGAGGGCACACGCAGGGAAUGAGAUGGCAAAGCGACGAUGCCGCCUCGCCGCCAGGGAGAGACGAGGACUAGGGUUUACUAUUUCUGGUUUGUGCUAUGCUUUUAAUACUUACUUUUCUUGUCUGAUGCCAUUUGCUUCAUUCCUAGAAAUAGGGUAGCAGUCUAGAAAAACCUAUGAUGAUGAUGUUUGCACCCAUCCCUUGUUUGUUUGUUUGUUUGUUUGUUUGUGAAUCGUACUUUGCAUUGCUUACCAGUAUUCUGAUAUAGUUGUGCUGAAGUACAUGGCAUGCUGGUUAUCUGGGAGCACCGAUCACCUGUUUGUUUCUACAUGAAUCCUGUUCCGCGUUGCAUUAACUUACUAGUAUGUUGGUUAUCUUGGGAGCAUCAUGCAUACUAGUACCUGUAGUUCACUACUAUAUUUUCAUCUAGCUAGCUAGCUAACUUGGUCCAUUUCCGUUGAACUGAAUCUAUGUGCUGGACCUUGCUAACUUGUUCUCCCUCCAUGGACCUUGCAGCCUCUUCCAGGCUCCGUCGCCAUCAGCCUUCUCCACGCCUCACAGCCAUCAGCCUCCGUCACGCCUACAGAAGAGCUUGGCAUUUUUCCCGGUACAAUGUAACUUUUUUUCAUGUUCUCGCCAUCAGAAAUCAUUUGAGAAUCAGUUUUCUUCUAAUUACUUGCAGUAGCAAACUAAAUCUGUGUACCAAUUUAGUCUUGGCAGCAAGAUAUGUACGGACCAUUUUAGAAACAAUUGAUGAAUUUUAGAAACAAUGAGCUUGGACCUUGCUAAAUUGUUCUUUAUAGCACGAAUGCUAUUUAUAAGAACUUGGUCCGUUUCCGUUGAACUGAAUUAUGUAAUGGACCUUGCUAACUUGUUCUUAUUUUGACAGAGACCCGCUGCUUGGAUUCUUCAUGGGGUGGACGAGUUACCUCCGUAUUGGGAGUCAGUUUCCACGCCUAACUUCAGUAAACAAGCUUCUUAGCCUCAUGGCUUUGUUUCUUUACCCGAGUAGUAUAUCCUGUUGGGGAUCGUAGCAGAAAUUUAAAAUUUUCUACGCAUCAUCAAGAUCAAUCUAUGGAGUCAUCUAGCAACGAGAGGGAGAGGAGUGCAUCUACAUACCCUUGUAGAUCGCGAGCGGAAGCGUUCAAGAGAACGAGGUUGAUGGAGUCGUACUCGUCGUGAUCCAAAUCACCGAUGAUCCUAGUGCCGAACGGACGGCACCUCCGCGUUCAACACACGUACGGAGCGGAGAUGUCUCCCACGCCUUGAUCCAGUAAGAAUGAGGGAGAGGUUGAAGAAGAGAGCUCCAACAGCAACACGACGGUGUGGUGGUGGUGGAGCAGCAGUACUCCGAUAGGGCUUCACCAAGCUCUUAACGGAGGAGGAGAGGUGUUGGAGAGGGGAGGGGCUGCGCCUUUGAUGUGGUAUGCAGCCCUCCCCUUGCCCCUCUAUUUAUAGGGGAAGGGGGGCGGCCCCCUCUAGAUGAGAUCUAGAGGGGGGCGGCGGCCAAGGGGAGGGGCUUGCCCCCCAAGCAAGGGGGGCGCCCCCUCUAGGGUUCCCCCCCCCCAACCCUAGGCGCAUGGGCCCAAGGGGGGGUUGCGCCCAGCCCUCUAGGGGCUGGUUCCCUUUCCACUACGGCUCAUGAGGCCCUCCGAGAGAGGUGGCCCCUCCCGGUGGACCCCCGGAACCCCUCCGGUGGCCCCGGUACAAUACCGAUAUACCCUCAAACUUUUCCGGUGACCGUAUGACAACUUCCCAUAUAUAAAUCUUCACCUCCGGACCAUUCCGGAACUCCUCGUGACGUCUGGGAUCUCAUCCGGGACUCCGAACAACAUUCGGUAAUCACAUACAAGUCUUCCUAAUAACCCUAGCGUCAUCGAACCUUAAGUGUGUAGACCCUACGGGUUCGGGAACCAUGCAAACGUGACCGAGACAACUCUCCGGCCAAUAACCAACAGCGGGAUCUGGAUACCCAUGUUGGCUCCCACAUGUUCCAUGAUGAUCUCAUCGGAUGAACCACGAUGUCGAGGAUUCAAGCAAUCCCGUAUACAAUUCCCUUUGUCAAUCGGUACGUUACUUGCCCGAGAUUCGAUCGUCGGUAUCCAAUACCUCGUUCAAUCUCGUUACCGGCAAGUCACUUUACUCGUUCCAUAACACAUCAUCCCGUGACCAACCCUUAGUCACAUUGAGCUCAUUACGAUGAUGUUUUACCGAGUGGGCCCAGAGAUACCUCUCCGUCAUGCGGAGUGACAAAUCCUAUAGUCACCCAGUUACGUUGUGACGUUUGGCACAUCCAAAGUAUUCCUACAGUAUCCGAGAGUUGCACAAUCUCAUGGUCUAAGGAAAAGAUACUUGACAUUAGAAAAGCUUUAGCAGACGAACUACACGAUCUUGCGCUAUGCUUAGGAUUGGGUCUUGUCCAUCACAUCAUUCUCCUAAUGAUGUGAUCCCGUUACAAUGACAUCCAAUGUCCAUGGUCAGGAAACCGUAACCAUCUAUUGAUCAACGAGAUAGUCAACUAGAGGCUCACUAGGGACAUAUUGUGGUCUAUGUAUUCACACAUGUAUUACGAUUUCCGGGUAACACAAUUACAACAUGAAAAAUAGACAAUUAUCAUGAACAAGGAAAUAUAAUAAUAACCAUUUUAUUAUUGCCUCUAGGGCAUAUUUCCAACAGUCUCCCACUUGCACUAGAGUCAAUAAUCUAGUUACAUUGUGAUGAAUCGAACACCCAUAGAGUUCUGGUGUUGAUCAUGUUUUGCUCGAGGAAGAGGUUUAGUCAACGGAUCUGCGACAUUCAGGUCCGUAUGCACUUUACAAAUAUUUAUGUCUCCAUUUUGAACAUUUUCACGAAUGGAGUUGAAGCGACACAUGAUGUGCCUGGUCUUCCUGUGAAACCUGGGCUCCUUGGCAAGGGCAAUAGCUCCAGUGUUGUCACAGAAGAGAGUCAUCGGGCUCGAUGCAUUGGGAAUAACUCCUAGGUCGGUAAUGAACUCCUUCACCCAGAUUACUUCUUGUGCUGCCUUUGAGGCUGCCAUGUACUCUGCUUCACAUGUCGAUCCCGCCACGACGCUUUGCUUGCAACUGCACCAGCUGAAUGCCCCACCAUUCAAAAUAUACACGUAUCCGGUUUGUGACUUAGAGUCAUCCAGAUCUAUGUCGAAGCUAACAUCGACGUAACCCUUUACGACGAGCUCUUCGUCACCUCCAUAAAUGAGAAACAUAUCCUUAGUCCUUUUCAGGUGCUUUAGGAUAUUCUUAACCGCUGUCCAGUGUUCCAUGCCGGGAUUACUUUGAUACCUUCCUACCAAACUUACGGCAAGGUUUACAUCAGGUCUGGUACACAACAUGGCAUGCAUAAUAGACCCUAUGGUCGAGGCAUAGGGGACGACACUCAUCUUUUCUCUAUCUUCUGUCGUGGUCGGGCAUUGAGUCGUGCUCAAUCUCACACCUUGCAAUACAGGCAAGAACCCCUUCUUGGACUGCUCCAUAUUGAACUUCUUCAAUAUCUUGUCAAGGUACGUACUUUGUGAAAGACCAAUGAGGCGUCUCGAUCUAUCUCUAUAGAUCUUGAUGCCUAAUAUAUAAGCAGCUUCUCCAAGGUCCUUCAUUGAAAAACACUUGUUCAAGUAGGCCUUUAUGCUUUCCAAGAAUUCUAUAUCAUUUCCCAUCAAUAGUAUGUCAUCCACAUAUAAUAUGAGAAAUGCUACAGAGCUCCCACUCACUUUCUUGUAAACACAGGCUUCUCCAUAAGUCUGCGUAAAUCCAAACGCUUUGAUCAUCUCAUCAAAUCGAAUGUUCCAACUCCGAGAUGCUUGCACCAGCCCAUAGAUUGAGCGUUGUAGCUUGCACACCUUGUCAGUAUUCUUAGAAUCGACAAAACCUUCCGGCUGCAUCAUAUACAAGUCUUCCUUAAGGAAACCAUUAAGGAAUGUCGUUUUGACGUCCAUUUGCCAUAUCUCAUAAUCAUAGAAUGCGGCAAUUGCUAACAUGAUUCGGACGGACUUCAGCUUCACCAUGGGUGAGAAAGUCUCAUUGUAGUCAACCCCUUGAACUUGUCGAUAACCCUUAGCGACAAGCCGAGCCUUAUAGAUGGUCACAUUACCAUCCACGUCUGUCUUCUUCUUAAAGAUCCAUUUAUUUUCUAUGGCUCGUCGAUCAUCGGGCAAGUCAGUCAAAGUCCAUACUUUGUUUUCAUACAUGGAUCCUAUCUCGGAUUUCAUGGCUUCCAGCCAUUUGUCGGAAUCUGGGCCCGCCAUCGCUUCUUCAUAGUUUGAAGGUUCACCAUUGUCUAACAACAUGAUUUCCAGGACAGGGUUGCCGUACCACUCUGGUGCGGAACGUGUCCUUGUGGACCUACGAAGUUCAGUAGCAACUUGAUCUGAAGGUUCAUGAUCAUCAUCAUUAACUUCCUCUCUAGUCGGUGCAGGCACCUCAGGAACAUUUUCUUGAGCUGCGCCACUCUCCGGUUCAAGAGGCAAUACUUCAUCAAGUUCUACUUUCCUCCCACUUACUUCUCUCGAGAGAAACUCUUUCUCUAGAAAGGAUCCAUUCUUGGCAACAAAGAUCUUGCCUUUGGAUCUGAGGUAGAAGGUAUACCCAAUAGUUUCUUUAGGGUAUCCUAUGAAGACGCAUUUUUCCGAUUUGGAUUCGAGCUUUUCAGAUUGAAGUUUCUUGACAUAAGCAUCGCAUCCCUAAACUUUCAGAAACGACAGCUUAGGUUUCUUACCAAACCACAAUUCAUACGGUGUCGUCUCAACGGAUUUCGAUGGAGCCCUAUUUAAAGUGAAUGCGGCAGUCUCUAUAGCAUAACCCCAAAAUGAUAGCGGUAGAUCGGUAAGAGACAUUAUAGAUCGCACCAUAUCUAACAGAGUGCGAUUAGGAUGUUCGGACACACCAUUACGCUGAGGUGUUCCAGGCGGCGUGAGUUGUGAAACUAUUCCACAUUUCCUUAAGUGCGUGCCAAAUUCAUGACUCAAAUAUUCUCCCCCACGAUCUGAUCGUAAGAACUUGAUUUUCCUGUCACGUUGAUUCUCAACCUCACUCUGAAAUUCCUUGAACUUUUCAAAGGUCUCAGACUUGUGUUUCAUUAAGUAGACAUACCCAUAUCUACUCAAGUCAUCAGUGAGGGUGAGAACAUAAAGAUAGCCACCAUUCACUAGGGACAUGUUUGUUGGGGAACGUUGCAGAAAAUUAAAAUUUUUCCUACGGUUUCACCAAGAUCCAUCUAUGAGUUCAUCUAAGCAACGAGUCAAGGGAGAGAGUUUGCAUCUACAUACCACUUGUAGAUCGCGUGCGGAAGCUUGCAAGGUGAUGAUGUAGUCGUACUCGACGUGAUUCGAAUCACCGAUGACCAAGUGCUGAACGGACAGCACCUCCGCGUUCAACACACGUACGGGACGGGAGACGUCUCCUCCUUCUUGAUCCAGCAAGGGAAGGAGAGGUUGAGGAAGACAGCUCCACCAGCAGCACGACGGCGUGGUGAUGGUGGAGAAGCAGUACUCCGACAGGGCUUCGCCGAGCACACAACAGAGGAGGAGAGGUGUUGGGGAGGGGAGGGCUGCGCCUUGGAGGAUGGUUCGGCUGCCCUCCCCUCACCCCUCUAUUUAUAGGGGGAAGGGAUAAGGGGGUCGGCCCCCUAGAACCCAUCUAGGGGGGGUGCGGUGGCCAAGGGGAGAGGGGGAGAGGGUGGCUUGCCCCCCAAGUCAAGGGGGGCGCCCCCUCUAGGGUUCCCCCUCAACCCUAGGCGCAUGGGCCCAAGGGAGGGGGGUGCGGCCAGCCCAUCAGGGGCUGGCUCCCUGCCCCACGCAGCCCAUGUGGCCCCCCGGGAGGGGUGGCCCCUCCCGGUGGACCCCCGGAACCCUUCCGGUGGCCCCGGUACAAUACCGGUAUGACCCCGAAUCUUCCCGGUGUCCGUUUGACAACUUCCCAUAUAUAAAUCUUGACCUCCGGACCCUUCCGGAUCUCCUCGUGGCGUCCAGGAUCCCAUCCGGGACUCCGAACAACAUUCGGUAGUCACAUACUAGUCUUCCUAAUAACCCUAGCGUCACCGAACCUUAAGUGUGUAGACCCUACGGGUUCGGGAGACAUGCAGACAUGACCGAGACGCUCUCAGGCCAAUAACCAACAGCGGGAUCUGGAUACCCAUGAUGGCUCCCACAUGCUCCUCGAUGUUGUCAUCGGAUGAACCACUAUGUCGAGGAUUCGAUCAAACCCUGUAUACAAUUCCCUUUGUCAAUCAGUACGUUACUUGCCCGAGACUCGAUCGUCGGUAUCCCAAUACCUUGUUCAGUCUCGUUAUCGGCAUGUCACUUUACUCGUACCGCAAUGCAUGAUCCCGUGUCCAACACCUUGGUCACAUUGAGCUCAUAAUGAUGAUGCAUUACCGAGUGGGCCCAGUGAUACCUCUCCGUCAUACGGAGUGACAAAUCCCAGUCUCGAUCCGUGUCAACCCAACAGCUACUUUCGGAGAUACCUGUAAUGCACCUUUAUAGUCACCCAGUUACGUUGUGACGUUUGAUACACCCAAGGCACUCUUACGGUAUCCGGGAGUUACACGAUCUCAUGGUCUAAGGAAGAGAUACUUGACAUUGGCAAAGCUCUAGCAAAACGAACUACACGAUCUUUUAUGCUAUGCUUAGGAUUGGGUCUUGUCCAUCACAUCAUUCUCCUAAUGAUGUGAUCCCGUUAUCAACGACAUCCAAUGUCCAUAGUCAGGAAACCAUGACUAUCUGUUGAUCACAAUGAGCUGGUCAACUAGAGGCUCACCAGGGACAUAUUGUGGUCUAAGUAUUCACACGUGUAUUACGAUUUCCGGAUAAUACAGUUAUAGCAUGAAUAAAAGACAUUUAUCAUGAACAUUGAAAUAUAAUAAUACUUUUAUUAUUGCCUCUAGGGCAUAUUUCCAACAGUCUCCCACUUGCACUAGAGUCACCAAUCUAGUUACAUUGUGAUGAAUCGAACACCCAUAGAGUUCUGGUGUUGAUCAUGUUUUGCACGCGAGAGAGGUUUAGUCAGCGGAUCUGCGACAUUCAGAUCCGUGUGCACUUUGCAAAUCUCUAUGUCUCCAUCUUGAACAUUUUCACGGAUGGAGUUGAAACGACGCUUGAUGUGCCUGGUCUUCUUGUGAAAUCUGGGCUCCUUGGCAAGGGCAAUAGCGCCAGUGUUGUCACAGAAGAGUUUGAUCGGCCCCGACGCAUUGGGUAUGACUCCUAGGUCGGUGAUGAACUCCUUCACCCAAAUCGCUUCAUGCGCUGCCUCCGAGGCUGCCAUGUACUCCGCUUCACAUGUAGAUCCCGCCACGACGCUCUGCUUACAGCUGCACCAGCUUACUGCUCCACCAUUCAACAUAUACACGUAUCCGGUUUGUGACUUAGAGUCAUCCAGAUCUGAGUCGAAGCUAGCGUCGACGUAACCCUUUACGACGAGCUCUUCAUCUCCUCCAUAAACGAGAAACAUGUCCUUCGUACUUUUCAAGUACUUCAGGAUAUUCUUGACCGCUGUCCAGUGUUCCUUGCCGGGAUUACUUUGGCAUCUUGCUACCAAACUUACGGCAAGGUUUACAUCGGGUCUGGUACACAGCAUGGCAUACAUAAUAGAUCCUAUGGCUGAAGCAUAGGGGAUGACACUCAUCUCUUCUUUAUCUUUUGCCGUGGUCGGUGACUGAGCCGAGCUCAGUCUCACACCUUGUAACAUAGGCAAGAACCCCUUCUUGGACUGAUCCAUUUUGAAUUUCUUCAAAACCUUGUCAAGGUAUGUGCUUUGUGAAAGACCUAUGAGGCGUCUCGAUCUAUCUCUAUAGAUCUUGAUGCCUAAUAUAUAAGCAGCUUCUCCAAGGUCCUUCAUUGAAAAACACUUAUUCAAGUAGGCCUUAAUGCUGUCCAGAAAUUCUAUAUUAUUUCCCAUCAAGAGUAUGUCAUCUACAUAUAAUAUGAGAAAUGCUACAGAGCUCCCACUCACUUUCUUGUAAACGCAGGCUUCUCCAUAAGUCUGCAUAAACCCAAACGCUUUGAUCAUCUCAUCAAAGCGAAUGUUCCAACUCCGAGAUGCUUGCACCAGUCCAUAAAUGGAUCGCUGGAGCUUGCACACUUUGUUAGCGUUCUUAGGAUCGACAAAACCUUCCGGCUGCAUCAUAUACAACUCUUCCUUAAGAUGCCCGUUAAGGAAUGCCGUUUUGACGUCCAUCUGCCAUAUCUCAUAAUCAUAGUAUGUGGCAAUUGCUAACAUGAUUCGGACGGACUUUAGCUUCGCUACGGGAGAGAAUGUCUCGUCGUAGUCAAUCCCUUGAACUUGUCGAUAACCCUUAGCGACAAGUCGAGCUUUAUAGAUGGUGACAUUACCAUCCGCGUCCGUCUUCUUCUUAAAGAUCCAUUUGUUUUCUAUCGCUCGCCGAUCAUCGGGCAAGUCUGUCAAAGUCCAUACUUUGUUUUCGUACAUGGAUUCUAUCUCGGAUUUCAUGGCUUUAAGCCAUUUGUUGGAAUCUGGGCCCGCCAUCGCUUCUUCAUAGUUCGAAGGUUCACCGUUGUCUAACAACAUGAUUUCCAGGACAGGGUUGCCGUACCACUCUGGUGCGGAACGUGUCCUUGUAGACCUACGAAGUUCAGCAGUAACUUGAUCCGAAGUACCUUGAUCAUCAUCAUUGUUUUCCUCUUCAGUUGGAGUGGGCAUCACAGGAACGGUUUCCUGCGCUGCGCCACUUUCCCGCUCAAGAGGCAGUACUUCAUCGAGUUCUACUUUCCUCCCACUUACUUCUUUCGAGAGAAACUCUUUUUCCAGAAAGCAUCCGUUCUUGGCAACAAAGAUCUUGCCUUCGGAUCUUAAGUAGAAGGUAUACCCGACAGUUUCCUUAGGGUAUCCUAUGAAGAUGCAUUUUUCCGACUUGGGUUCGAGCUUUUCAGGUUGAAGUUUCUUGACAUAAGCAUCGCAUCCCCAAACUUUUAGAAACGACAGCUUAGGUUUCUUUCCAAACCAUAAUUCAUACGGUGUCGUCUCAACGGAUUUAGACGGUGCCCUAUUUAAAGUGAAUGUAGCUGUCUCUAGAGCGUAUCCCCAAAAUGAUAGCGGUAAAUCGGUAAGAGACAUCAUAGACCGCACCAUAUCCAAUAGAGUGCGAUUACGACGUUCGGACACACCGUUUCGUUGAGGUGUUCCAGGCGGCGUGAGUUGUGAAACGAUUCCACAUUUCCUUAAGUGUGUGCCAAAUUCGUGACUUAAAUAUUCUCCUCCACGAUCUGAUCGUAGGAACUUUAUCUUUCGGUCAUGUUGAUUCUCCACCUCAUUCUGAAAUUCCUUGAACUUUUCAAAGGUCUCAAACUUGUGUUUCAUUAAGUAGACAUACCCAUAUCUACUUAAGUCAUCAGUGAGAGUGAGAACAUAAUGAUAUCCUCCGCGAGCCUCAACGCUCAUUGGACCGCACACAUCGGUAUGUAUGAUUUCCAACAAGUUGGUUGCUCGCUCCAUUGUUCCGAAGAACGGAGUCUUGGUCAUCUUGCCCAAAAGGCAUGGUUCGCAUGUGUCAAAUGAUUCAUAAUCAAGAGACUCCAAAAGUCCAUUGGCAUGGAGCUUCUUCAUGCGCUUGACACCAAUGUGACCAAGGCGGCAGUGCCACAAGUAUGUGGGACUAUCGUUAUCAACUUUAAAUCUUUUGGCAUCUACACUAUGAACAUGUGUAAUAUUACGCUCGAGAUUCAUUAAGAAUAAACCAUUGACCAUCGGAGCAUGACCAUAAAACAUAUCUCUCAUAUAAAUCGAACAACCAUUAUUCUCAGACUUAAAUGAGUAGCCAUCUCGUAUUAAACGAGAUCCAGAUACAAUGUUCAUGCUCAAACUUGGCACUAAAUAACAAUUAUUAAGGUUCAAAACUAAUCCCGUGGGUAAAUGUAGAGGCAGCGUGCCGACGGCGAUCACAUCGACNNNNNNNNNNGAGUUACUACGAGUACUGGUAAGGUACACAUCAAUCACAUGUAUAUCAAAUAUACCUUUGGUGUUGCCGGCCUUCUUAUCCGCUAAGUAUUUGGGGCAGUUCCGCUUCCAGUGACCCUUCCCCUUGCAAUAAAAGCACUCAGUCUCAGGCUUGGGUCCAUUCUUUGACUUCUUCCCGGUAACUGGUUUACCAGGCGCGGCAACAUCUUUGCCGUCCUUCUUGAAGUUCUUCUUACCCUUGCCCUUCUUGAACUUAGUGGUCUUAUUGACCAUCAACACUUGAUGUUCUUUCUUGAUUUCAGCCUCUGCUGACUUCAGCAUCGAGAACACUUCAGGAAUGGUCUUUUCCAUCCCCUGCAUGUUGUAGUUCAUCACAAAGCUCUUGUAGCUUGGUGGGAGCGACUGGAGGAUUCUGUCAAUGACCGCCUCAUCUGGGAGGUUAAUGUUUAGCUGGGUCAUACGGUUGUGCAACCCAGACAUCUUUAGGAUGUGCUCACUGACAGAACUGUUUUCCUCCAUCUUACAACUGUAGAACUUGUCGGAGACAUCAUAUCUCUCGACCCGGGCAUGAGCUUGAAAAACUAGUUUCAGCUCUUCGAACAUCUCAUAUGCUCCGUGGUGCUCAAAACGCUUUUGGAGCCCCGGUUCUAAGCUGUAAAGCAUGCGCACUGAACGAGGGAGUAAUCAUCAGCGCGAGCUUGCCAAGCAUUCAUAAUGUCUUGGUUCUCGGGGACGGGAGCGUCACCUAGCGGUCCUUCUAGGACAUAUUGUUUCCUGGCAGCUAUGAGGAUGAUCCUCAGGUUCCGGACCCAGUCCGUAUAGUUGCUGCCAUCAUCUUUCAGCUUGGUUUUCUCUAGGAACGCGUUGAAGUUCAUGUUGACAUUAGCGUUGGCCAUUGAUCUACAAGACAUAUUUGCAAAGGUUUUAGACUAAGUUCAUGAAAAUAAAGUUCUAAUCAAAUUAUGAACUCCCACUUAGAUUAGACAUCCCUCUAGUCAUCUAAGUGUUACACGAUCCGAGUCGACUAGCCCGUGUCCGAUCAUCACGUGAGACGGACUAGUCAUCGUCGGUGAACAUUCUCAUGUUGAUCGUAUCUUCUAUAUGAUUCGUGUUCGACCUUUCGGUCUCCGUGUUCCGAGGCCAUGUCUGCACAUGCUAGGCUCGUCAAGUUAACCCUAAGUGUUUUCGCUGUGUAAAACUGUCUUACACCCGUUGUAUGUGAACGUAAGAAUCCAUCACACCCGAUCAUCACGUGGUGCUUAGAAGCGACGAACUGUAGCAACGGUGCACAGUUAGGGGAGAACACUUCUUGAAAUUUUGUAAGGGAUCAUCUUAUUUACUACCGUCGUCCUAAGUAAACAAGAUGCAUAUACAUAAUAAACAUCACAUGCAAUUAUAUGGUUGUGACAUGAUAUGGCCAAUAUCAUAUAGCUCCAUUGAUCUUCAUCUUCGGGGCUCCAUGAUCAUCUUGUCACCGGCUUGACACCAUGAUCUCCAUCAUCAUGAUCUCCAUCAUCGUGUCUUCAUGAAGUUGUCACGCCAACGACUACUUCUACUUCUAUGACUAACGUUUAGCAAUAAAGUAAAGUAGUUGACAUGGCGUUGUUCAAUGACACGCAGGUCAUACAAAAAAUAAUGACAACUCCUAUGGCUCCUGCCGGUUGUCAUACUCAUCGACAUGCAAGUCGUGAAUCCUAUUACAAAGAACAUGAUCUCAUACAUCACAAUUCAUCAUUCAUCACAACUUCUGGCCAUAUCACAUCACAUGAUCAAUCGCUGCAAAAACAAGUUAGACGUCCUCUAAUUGUUGUUGCAUCUUUUACGUGGCUGCAAUUGGGUUCUAGCAAGAACGUUUUCUUACCUACGAUUCACCACAACGUGAUUUUGUCAACUUCUAUUUACCCUUCAUAAGGGCCCUGUUCAUCGAUUCCGCUCCAACUAAAGUGGGAGAGACAGACACACGCCAGCCACCUUAUGCAACUAGUGCAUGUCAGUCGGUGGAACCGGUCUCACGUAAGCGUACGUGUAAGGUUGGUCCGGGCCGCUUCAUCCCACAAUACCGUUGAGCAAGAAAAAGACUAGUAGAGGCAAGUAAGAUGACAAAAUCCACGCCCACAACAAAUUGUGUUCUACUCGUGCAUUAGAGAACUACGCAUAGACCUAGCUCAUGAUGCCACUGUUGGGGAACGUUGCAGAAAAUUAAAAUUUUUUCUACGGUUUCACCAAGAUCCAUCUAUGAGUUCAUCUAAGCAACGAGUCAAGGGAGAGAGUUUGCAUCUACAUACCACUUGUAGAUCGCGUGCGGAAGCUUGCAAGGUGAUGAUGUAGUCGUACUCGACGUGAUUCGAAUCACCGAUGACCAAGUGCUGAACGGACAGCACCUCCGCGUUCAACACACGUACGGGACGGGAGACGUCUCCUCCUUCUUGAUCCAGCAAGGGAAGGAGAGGUUGAGGAAGACAGCUCCACCGGCAGCACGACGGCGUGGUGAUGGUGGAGAAGCAGUACUCCGACAGGGCUUCGCCGAGCACACAACGGAGGAGGAGAGGUGUUGGGGAGGGGAGGGCUGCGCCUUGGAGGAUGGUUCGGCUGCCCUCCCCUCACCCCUCUAUUUAUAGGGGGAAGGGAUAAGGGGGCCGGCCCCCUAGAACCCAUCUAGGGGGGGUGCGGCGGCCAAGGGGAGAGGGGGAGAGGGUGGCUUGCCCCCCAAGUCAAGGGGGGCGCCCCCUCUAGGGUUCCCCCUCAACCCUAGGCGCAUGGGCCCAAGGGAGGGGGGUGCGGCCAGCCCACCAGGGGCUGGCUCCCUGCCCCACGCAGCCCAUGUGGCCCCCCGGGAGGGGUGGCCCCUCCCGGUGGACCCCCGGAACCCUUCCGGUGGCCCCGAUACAAUACCGGUAUGACCCCGAAUCUUCCCGGUGUCCGUUUGACAACUUCCCAUAUAUAAAUCUUUACCUCCGGACCCUUCCGGAUCUCCUCGUGACGUCCAGGAUCCCAUCCGGGACUCUGAACAACAUUCGGUAGUCACAUACUAGUCUUCCUAAUAACCCUAGCGUCACCGAACCUUAAGUGUGUAGACCCUACGGGUUCGGGAGACAUGCAGACAUGACCGAGACGCUCUCAGGCCAAUAACCAACAGCGGGAUCUGGAUACCCAUGAUGGCUCCCACAUGCUCCUCGAUGUUGUCAUCGGAUGAACCACUAUGUCGAGGAUUCGAUCAAACCCUGUAUACAAUUCCCUUUGUCAAUCGGUACGUUACUUGCCCGAGACUCGAUCGUCGGUAUCCCAAUACCUUGUUCAGUCUCGUUACCGGCAAGUCACUUUACUCGUACCGCAAUGCAUGAUCCCGUGUCCAACACCUUGGUCACAUUGAGCUCAUAAUGAUGAUGCAUUACCGAGUGGGCCCAGUGAUACCUCUCCGUCAUACGGAGUGACAAAUCCCAGUCUCGAUCCGUGUCAACCCAACAGCUACUUUCGGAGAUACCUGUAAUGCACCUUUAUAGUCACCCAGUUACGUUGUGAUGUUUGAUACACCCAAGGCACUCUUACAGUAUCCGGGAGUUACACGAUCUCAUGGUCUAAGGAAGAGAUACUUGACAUUGGCAAAGCUCUAGCAAAACGAACUACACGAUCUUUUAUGCUAUGCUUAGGAUUGGGUCUUGUCCAUCACAUCAUUCUCCUAAUGAUGUGAUCCCGUUAUCAACGACAUCCAAUGUCCAUAGUCAGGAAACCAUGACUAUCUGUUGAUCACAAUGAGCUGGUCAACUAGAGGCUCACCAGGGACAUAUUGUGGUCUAAGUAUUCACACGUGUAUUACGAUUUCCGGAUAAUACAGUUAUAGCAUGAAUAAAAGACAUUUAUCAUGAACAUUGAAAUAUAAUAAUACUUUUAUUAUUGCCUCUAGGGCAUAUUUCCAACAAUGUUGUGGUCUAUGUAUUCACACAUGUAUUACAAUUUCCGGAUAAUACAAUUACAGCAUGAACAAUAGACAAUUAUCAUGAACAAGGAAAUAUAAUAAUAACCAUUUUAUUAUUGCCUCUAGGGCAUAUUUCCAACAUAUCCUACUUCAUAGCUCUUGAACUCAAGUAAAAUAGUAAAUGUAGUUCUACCUUUGGGGCAUAUUGCAUCUAGAUCAAUGUUUCCAACUUGUAGAUGUGUGUGUGUGCUGAUGAUUUUUAGUUCAUUAUUUUUUGGAAGUCAGAACUCAUUGUACAAUUUCCAACUUGUAGAUGCGUGUGUGUGUGUGCUGAUGAUUUUUAGUUCAUUAUAUUUUGGAAGUCGAUACUCUUUAUACAGUUUCCAACUUGUAGAUGUGUGUGUGUGUGCUGAUGAUUUUUAGUUCAUUAUUUUUUGGAAGUCGGAACUCUUUGUGCAGUUCCAACUUGUAGGUGUGUGUUGAUGAUGUUGCUUUUGGCUUUUUUUAUGUGGACUCAAGAUCGAUUUUUUUCAUGCAGAGUUAUUAUGAGUAUUUGCUGCUUCCCAGGCUGGAGUUACAUGGUAACAAAGGAAAGAGCUCAAUUGCCAAUGGCAACAUGAAAUGCAGCUACCGAAACACAAACAUGGCUACCACUCUAAGUUAACAGAAUAUUGUGAGGACAUAUUGUUCUUGUAAUAGAAUAAUCUGGGAGCAAGUUAUAAUCUGGGAGUAACAUGUUGUUCUUGUAACGGAAUACUGUGAGGACAUGUUGUUCUUGUAAUAGAAUAAGGACUAUGAUAUUUGGCACAUGUGUGCCAUAUAAGCAAAACUGCCACACCUCUAUUUUCUUCACUCUAAAUAGAUGCAUACAUUAGUUUGAUUCUUUCUUUUUUCACGUGCAUUUCUCCUUCUAAUUAGAUGCAUACACUAGAGGACAAAAAAGAUGAUGUCAUUCUAGAUUCUCUUUAUUAAAAUAUUUAAAAUAUUUUGUAGCUCAAACCGCCGGUCCGAUGUAAAAACCGUUUUACAUAAACGAUUCAUCGCGACGAGAUCUUCGAAACUAGAUCCUAUGUUGACAUGUUCCGAUGACUUUUUUCAGCCAAAAUUUACCAUGCCUAGGCUACAUAAGUUACCAUGCCUUUUAUAUGCAAGUUACCAUGCUAUUUCCAUAUAAGUCAUCGGAGGCAUAAAAAUGGAUCACCGACACUACAGUUCAUAUAUUACCAUGAUGUAUUCACAUAAGUUAUCGGGCAUGCGGUUCUUAUAUUACCAUGUUGUUUUUAGGCAUGCGGUUCACAUAUUACCAUGCUCUUUGGUCAAUGUUAUAGCGGUGCUUGUACAUGAGUUAUNNNNNNNNNNNNNNNNNNNNNNNNNNNNNNNNNNNNNNNNNNNNNNNNNNNNNNNNNNNNNNNNNNNNNNNNNNNNNNNNNNNNNNNNNNNNNNNNNNNNNNNNNNNNNNNNNNNNNNNNNNNNNNNNNNNNNNNNNNNNNNNNNNNNNNNNNNNNNNNNNNNNNNNNNNNNNNNNNNNNNNNNNNNNNNNNNNNNNNNNNNNNNNNNNNNNNNNNAGCUGCGGUUCAUAUAUUAUCAUGAUGUUUUCAUAUAAGUUACCGGGGGGGGGGGGGGUCUGUUUUCAACAAUUUCCCCACGGAGUCAAAUAUUACCAUAGUAUAUGUACGUAAGUUAUCAAGUAUGCGAUGGGUAUAUUACCAUGGCUAUCUUUAAAAAAAAUCUCGAAUUUACCGCGGUGUUUGUACCUAAAUUAUCAAGGUUGUGGUGCCUAAUUUACUAUGCUAUUUACAUACAAAAGUUACCAGUGUAUUUUUUGACAAUUUUUUUACUAUUCUUCCUCAAAUCAGGACUAUUACCGUGCUAUUUACACACAAGUUACCGGGGUAUAUUUUCAACAACUUCAUCCACCCGUAUCAAACUUAUCAUGGUGUUUGUGAGUAACUUAUCAUGUCUGCAAUGCGUAUAUUACCAUUCUAUUUAAACAAAAUUUACCAACGAUAUGCUUCAAACAAUUUUUUCCGUGGGUCAAAGCUAGCGUACUGUUUUUGCGUAAGUUAUUGUAUCUACAAUAAAUACAUUACCGUGCUAUUUACCUAGAAGUUAUUGGGGGUAAUGUUCUUCAACAAAAAAAAUCAGGGUCAAAAAAUUAUCGUGGUGUUUGAACAAGAGUUAUUAGGUCUCCGAUGGGUAAAUUAUCAUGUUAUUUGCACAUAAGUUAGCGAGGGUAUGCUUUUCAACAACUUCCUCCAUCCAGGUCAAAGUUAUCAUGGUGUUUUUGCUUAAGUUUUCAAGUUUGUGGUGCGUAUAUUACCACGAUGUUUACUGUUUACACAAAAUUUCCGAGGGUACGUUCCAACAAUUUUUUUCCCUGGAUCAAAAUUAACGCGGUGUGUUUGUGUAAGUUAUCAUGUCUGCGGUGUGUAUACUACCAUGCUAUUUGCAUAGAAGUUACCGGGAUUUGUUUUCAAUAAUAUUUUUCUGGGGACAAAUUUACCAUGUGGUGUUUUUACAUAAAUUAUCAGGUCUGUCGUGCAUAAAUUAUCAUAAUAUUUACACAUAAGCUAUAAAUGAUAUAUUUCUGUAAUAUUUUAUUUCGGGUCAAAGUUAUCACGGUGUUUUAUGCGCAAGUUGGCAGGUCUUAAAAUGUAGUACAAGUAAUCUACUAGAAAAGCCUCUGAAAAUGAUGUAAAAGUAUAAGAACAGAGAGACAUAUAACCUCAUUUGUACUACUGAAAUGAUGUAAUGUCAAGCGUCUGAAAUAGCAUGGGUUUUCAUAACUUCUACAUCAUUAAGGUUUAGUAUAGAAUAUGGGGAUUUUUAGUAGUAAGUGUCAAAGUCUUUAGUAGUAUAAACCUCAAGUUCAGAGGCUUUUAGUACUGUUUGAGGUUCUGAAACUUGUUCUUUAGUAGUGUAUAUGAGGUUGAGAGGUUCUUUAGCAUAUGAGAUUCAGUAGUAAAAGUUUUGAAACCUAAUUUCAGCAGUACAAAUGAGGUUCUUUAGUACUCCCUCCGUCCGAAAAUACUUGUCAUCAAAAUAAAUAAAAGGGAAUGUAUCUAGAACUAAGAUAUGUCUACAUACAUCCCGUUUUAUUCAUUUUGAUGACAAGUAUUUCCGGACGGAGGGAGUAGUAUAGUGUAUGCCUUUUCAGUAGUUCAUUUGUAUACUACUAAAAGAACAUCAUACGACCAAGUGUCAAGUUCAGAGGUUCUUAGUAUAGCAUGACCCAAGCGUCAAGUUUCAGUUUCAGAACAACAAGUUUAGACUUGGACUAUCAAUAUUCAGUUUUAGAACAAGUUGAAGAAAGAAAGUGCUUUCGUCAGAAACCACAUAGGCAGGUGAGCCGAAUGCUUGAUCAACGCGCCAAGGAGGAGUAAUGAUCAAGUAUUAAUAAGAGGUAAAAAUGAUCUCUGCUAUUUGGUGACAGUUUGAUGAGGAUGUGGAGUGGUAAAUGGCCAGUUUUUCAGUUAAGAAACUGUUGCUUUUCUUCACAAGUUUCAGAUAUAAGGCCAUGAGAUAGAUAACCUCACCACCGUCCACUGCUUUCACUACGAAGCGUGCUGCUCGAGCCGCCCGAUAAUUUUGGCUUGGUUGUGUCUCUCUCUCGCUCCCGGUGGAAAGCCCGUUUCCAUGACGGCGUGUGCGUACGUGCAUGCAGGAUUUCAUCAGGAAAAUAAGGCCAUGAACGACGACGACCUGGGAGGCGCUGAAGGCGGCGCCGUGCGGCUACAGCGGGCGCACCGGCCCCGCGGCAUCGGCCACGCGUGGCGGAGGUCCAGGUGCUGCACCGUCUCCCACUUCAUCGCACCGCCGUGGAGCAUCAAUCAGGAAGGUCGCACCGGGGGAUCCCGUCCCAUCGCAUCGUCGUCGGCAGAACUAAGGAGGAGCGGGGCGACGACUGCGUCGCCUUCAGGAGGAAGGAAAAGCAAGCCGACGGGCCUCCUCGCCGGGAGGAAGAGUGGAUAGUGGCCUCGUUUGUGCAUGGAAGGAGGCCCGGGCGUCGGGGCAGUUGGGAUGCAGUCGCACGAAGGAUUGUGGCUGGCGUUCGAGCAAAAACUUGUGCAUCGCGGGAUCCAAAUCGAACGGCACCUGAUGCGUUAGGUCGUUUUUGCAAUCUGUCACACAGUUGCCACAUACAUAUUUCGAUAGAAUAAUUUAGGAGCAAGUUAUAAUCUGGGAGUAACCUGUUGUUCUUGUAACAGAAUACUGUGAGGACCUGUUGUUCUAGUAGCGGAACAUGGUUAAAGUUGUUAAACUUGCAAAGAUUGGAUUUUUAACUGCACUAUUGCCAUCAUUCUAUUAUAUCAAACCCCGUCUACCAAACAAGUUUUUAUGAAAGGGGAUUGAAAACUUGGGAAUGUGAGGGGAAUUGAGGGGAUUGGGUGGAAGGAAGGGAUUCACCAAAUCCUCCCGGAUCCCCUCCUCCCAAAACCUCUCAAAUCCCCUUGUACCAAAUGAGGCCUGAUGAAAAUCGGAAGGGGAACCAUUUUUUGUUACCAAAAAAGAAGUCGUUUGGGCUGACGGACAAUUUGGCCCAGAAGUAACGGGCCCAGUGUAAUGAUCACUUUGCCUUAUCGGAGGCCCAGUUGGAGUGAGAGUGAGCGUCCAGCCACACCCAUUUUGCCUUAUCUCGUCAUCCAUAAAGCCCUCUCCACUCUGCCAUCCCCGCUUCUCCCCGCACGCUCCGAUGGCAGCCACGGCGGUGACCCUGCCCACCUCCGCGCCGGCGCCCUUCCCCGUCGCCGCCCCCUCCGCCCGCCGCGGCCUGCAGCUCCUCCGCUCGCCGGUCCCCCGCCGCGCCAUCCGCGUCGCCGCCUCCGCCGCGACCGAGGCGCCGCCCAAGCCGCCGCCGGCCACGCCCUCCGGCAUCAUCCUCGUCGACCCCGCCGAGGCCCAGAAGGUGCACCGCCUCAAGACCGUCUACGACACCAAGGUCAUCCCCAUCAUCACCGAGGAGUUCGGCUACACCAAUGUCCACCAGGUACCCCCUCUCCUGCUCUGCUCUGCUCUGAUGAACCGAUCCCAUUUCUUGAGUCGUAGAUUGGCCUGUUCGGUAGUGGUUUCUUGAUUUUUAUUGGUUCUGGUAGGUGCCCAAGCUUGAGAAGAUUGUGGUGAACUGCGGGCUGGGGGUGGAUGCGGGGAACAACAAGGGUCUGGAGGCCGCCAUGAAGGACCUCGCCUCCAUCACCGGCCAGUACCCCGUCAAGACCAAGGCCAAGAACUCCGUCGCCAGUUUCAAGAUCCGCGAGGGCAACACCAUUGGUAUCGCCGUCACGCUCCGCGGCAGGGUGAGCCCUCUCUGUCGAACUCUCGCACUUGCACUUUGAUGAAAUGCACACGAGACACAAUGACAGAUUGGUAUAUGAAAUUGUUAGCAGUUUGGAAUCUUGCAUUUGAGUUAAGCUGUAGUAUCAGCGAUAGUUGUCGAUUAAGGGGCUCAAUUCCACAUUUGGUUGAUGCAGGUCAUGUUCAACUUCUUGGAUAGGCUCAUCAACCUUGGGCUCCCUAGGACCAUGGACUUCCUAGGUGUCAACCCCAACAGCUUCGAUGGCCACGGCAACUACACCAUUGGCCUCCGCGACCAGGGCGUGUUCCCGGAGAUCCCCUACGAGGUGGGCGGUAAGAAGAACGGUAUGGACGUCACCAUUGUGACCACCGCCAAGACCGACAACGAGGCACAGAGGCUGCUCGCGCUCCUCGGCAUGCCAUUCGCCGAGAACAUCAAGUCGGACCAGUUCAAGAAGAAGAGGUUGAAGCGCCAUCACUUCAUGAGCAAGGGCAGGGGAAGAAAGUGAAGAUCAGGCGGCGUUUGAGCUUUGUUGCUUCCCACUUUGUCAAUUGUCAUCCUUUUGCAUAGUUUGGUUUAGAUAUUGGAUAUCUGAUGAUCCUUUUGCUGCCUGUUAUUACUUGCUGUUCAUGUUGUAACUACUAUUCCCUCCGUAAACUAAUAUAAGAGUGUUUAGAUCACUAUUUUAGUAAUCUAAAUGCUCUUAUAUUAGUUUACAGAGGGAGUACUACAGAACAAAAUGGAAAGUUUUGCUUUGGUCAGGCUAUUCGUUUUGGGAGUUCAUUGCAUUGCACACAUAUACUUAUUCUACAACAUUUUUCAAACUGCUGCUUGACUAUACUAAGACUCAGAGUACAUCAUCUCUUUGGUUCAAACCCUGAUGGCUAUAGCACACCACAUAAUAUAUCAGUAGGUACAUUUGGGCAAUUCUGGCGGACCAAUGACGAGCUCUUCCUCUGGGAAUGUGCAGGGCUUGCCCUCUGCCCCAAGCUCUGGGCACGGCUCCGGCGAGACGCCGGAUGCCACUCCUUGGACGUCGGUGCAGUUCCAUUGCAGCUUCUUGGCCUUGGGAGCGAGCUGGGCGGUAAUGUUGGACAUGCAUAUCCCCGUGUAGGGGUCGUUGGGGAUGCCCUCCAUCCUGCCGGCCAUGGUCACGUUCUCGGCGAACACGUCGCGGUAGUUGAUGCCGGUGACCUCAGGCAGCGCCUUGGGGUCUGACGAGUUGUCGGGGUGCUGGCCGUAGUUGCCGGUCAUCCAGAAGACCCACUUCAUGGUGUGGAGGCUGAGGCGGCGCACGAAGACGUCCCUGACGAAGCCGCCCCUCCCCACGCCGGACUUGAUCCUGACGGCCGACUCGGUGUCGAUGGCGGUGUUGUCCUCCACGCGCACGUCCUGGAUGCCGCCCGACAUCUCGCUGCCGAGCGCGAUCAUGGCGCUCGUUGGGGAGAUGCAGGUGAGCCUCCUGACGACGAUGUGCUGGCUCGGCAUGUUGAACUUAAUGCCGUAUUCAUCCCAGCCGCUCUUCACGGCGAUGCAGUCGUCGCCGGACACGAUGUAGCAGUCCUCGAUCUUGACAUGAGACGAAGAAUCUGCACAAGCAAUAACAGUUCACAGGCAUUCAGAUUCAGAAACACAUUCAAGAUUCUCAUGAAGAACGCUGGUGGAUAGUAUGGAUAGUUCAUCAUACUGAAAGCGUGACUGAUCUACUACCUGGGUCGAUUCCGUCGGUGUUUGGCGAGUGGACCGGCGCGAGGAUCGUGACGCCGCUGAUGGUCACAUUGCUGCUCAACACAGGACACGCCAGCAAGGUGAGCACGACGGAUACAUGGUCAAACAACCAAGCUAUCUACUACGUACGAUCAAACUAACAUUGUGUGUGUGCGUGUGGAUUCAGAGAGAGAUGGUGUUUUCUUACGUGCAGUAGGUGGGGUGGAGGUUCCAUGAGGGCGCGUCGACGAAGGUGACGUUGGAGAUGAUGAUGUCGCGGGAGUAGAGGAGCUCGAGCAGGUAGCCGCGCGUGUAGUCGAGCUGCUUGGCGUGGAACUUGUCCCACCACACCUGCCCCUGCCCGUUGAUGGUGCCAUUGUAACCUGCAAAACGUUUUUCGGUCAGGUCUCUGCUGCUGCUACCGGUACAGCAGUAGAAUUUUACUCGUCAGUUUGUAAUGUAAUGAUCCAUCUUACCGGAGAUGGUGACAUCGGUGAGGUUGGAUCCGCCGAUGAAGUUGCUGUACCUCGGGCCUGGCUCGUCCCUCCCUCUCCCGUAGGACGGCAGCGGCGCUAUCAGCGGCCAGUCUUCCAGGUCCUGCACGAACGAGUAGGUUGGGUUUGGAUUCAGAAAUCAGUCAGAUGAUCACGAGAUGGAUGCAAGCGACAGAAGCAUAAACACGGGGCGAUUCGUCAAGGGCGUCAGAUCACGGGAUGAAUGCAGCCAAAGAAAGGUACUGAAUGAGACGGCGAUGGCACGCAUGGAAUUUUCAGAGAGCUCUCCUGUUUUUCUCUGGUUCCCACGGACACGAGUACCCGAUAAGCACAUCAAUGCCGUCUGACCUCGUGGUCAAACGGUCCAUGCUAGUACUACUACCAGUAAGCAACUUUUGUGUACAUGUUCCCAUUCAAUAAGCACCAACUGACUCGGUUCUGUCAUGACUCAUGGUCAUGGCAAUUGGCAACCACCGGUGCGGUGAGGAGCGAGGACAUGGUGGGCGGCCGGGUUUGUUUGUCCCAGCAGAUUAAUCAAGCGCCGAAAUGUUACGGUCUCCUGCCCUUAAGCCAUACUAGCUUGAAUCUAGAGAAAAACAAAACAGGCAUGUAAUGGUGGCAUUUAGCAAGCCAGUAGGAGUAGUAAUUAGCAUCCUAUCCUAUUACUUAUUUAGGGUAGGGCUGGCAUCAAUCAGGCAUCAGGAGCAGGGAGACGACCGAUGAUGGCCACGGAAAGGCCAUGCCUAGAAAGGAAGCGAGCGACAGUGGUCAUGGCGAUGGCAGGGGGCCCCCAAACCAGUAGCCGCCGCCCACUCUGUCCCUGGACCUUCCUCCCUCCCAACGCAAGCGGCCAAGCGCCUUUCCCACCGGCCCCGUGCUGUCUCGCCCGUCACCAGUAGCCCCCCGCCCCGCAUCGUGCCGGGUACAGUAAGCACGUUACGUAGCAAUUACUACCGGUAAUUAAUCCCACCAAAGGGUAACUGAAGAAGAUCGGGAUGG